UACGUAGGGUGCGAGCGUUGUCCGGAAUUAUUGGGCGUAAAGAGCUCGUAGGCGGCCUGUCGCGUCGGAUGUGAAAGCCCGGGGCUUAACCCCGGGUCUGCAUUCGAUACGGGCAGGCUAGAGUGUGGUAGGGGAGAUCGGAAUUCCUGGUGUAGCGGUGAAAUGCGCAGAUAUCAGGAGGAACACCGGUGGCGAAGGCGGAUCUCUGGGCCAUUACUGACGCUGAGGAGCGAAAGCGAGGGGAGCAAACGGG
rnacentral:rRNA from 1 species